AGUAGUACGUCCUCGUACCUAUCAAUAUUCAAUAGACCAUGUAGUUAUGAGCCAGGUUUAUGGAAGAGCCACACAGACAUACGAGGGUGGAGCCUGAUGUAGUGGUCGAGAUGGAGGCACAUGUGGGCUAUCGACUAUAGGGCGUUUGUCACAUUUGAGCCUAGAGGAGUUACUCAAUCCGCCUUUUCAUAAUCCUUUAUCUGCCUCUUCGUGAGAAAGAAAGGUUUUUGUGGGAAGCUGGGGUGUGCACUUACGGUGGGAACUUUGGAGUGAGAGAACUUCAGAGGUAUGGUGUCUAGCAAGGUUUAAUGUUUCCCCUUGGGCGUCAAUCUUUUUUGUAAUAACUCUUUAGGUCUUGUCUUACUUGAUUGAAGUCCCUUCCAUUAAUGGAACUUUCUUUUGUGGGCUCAUUUUUUUUUAAUAUCCCCUUCUUUCUUUUCUUUUUCAUUUGGGUCUACUCUAAAAAAAACAAAAAAGAUCGUAAAUUAUGAUAAAUGUGACUAAAUGACUCUUGGACACUCAUGCCAACCCUAAACUCAAUUUUAAGGUAGCCUAAGUACUUAACCAUUGUAAAGUGAUAAGCUCACGAGAUUAAAGUAUGACGGUAUGGCGGCCUAUUUUCUUACAUGAAAUCUGAUACAAUUAAACGGGAAUGUACUCCUUGUUUUGAGAAAUAUGAUAAACCCCAAUAAAGAUGAGAAGUUGUGUUUUAUACGCCCUAAUGAAAGUCCAUAAUGUGCGGGUGGGAGAUGAAAAUUACUCAAUUUCAAUAGCUUAUGCCACAAUUUCAACCCGCCAUAACCUUUUCCAUUCCAAACCAAAUUAAGCAUAUGAUAUAUUGUUUAAAAAGUUUUCAAACAUGCUUUACACGUAAGCUUCAUAUGCAAGAGGCAAGUUAAUGAAAAGUAAUUUGCAAGUAAAAAAAAAAUUGUAGCACAAUGGUUCACGUUUCAGGAAAAUAACUCAAUAUACUUGACCAAUGUGCACGAAAUUUUGCAGAGACUUCAUUCUUAUUAUACCUAAAAUACAAGCAAAGUUUCAUAGCAUUACGAAGGAUAUAAAAAUGAUUUCAUUAAAUAAUUCUAAACAUUCGAAGUUUAAUUUUAAAGAAUAAAUCAUAAACAAAACUAAAUCCCCUUUCAACUUGGAUCUGAUAUCAAUAUUGGAAUAUUAGAGAAAAGGUAACCAAUUAUAGUAUAGCGAAAUCCGCAAAAA